rnacentral:rRNA from 1 species
CCUACGGGUGACAGCAGUGAGGAAUAUUGGUCAAUGGCCGAGAGGCUGAACCAGCCAAGUCGCGUGAGGGAAGACGGCCCUACGGGUUGUAAACCUCUUUUGUCGUGGAGCAAAGCGAGUCACGUGUGACUCCUUGAGAGUACCCGCAGCAAAAGCAUCGGCUAACUCCGUGCCAGCAGCCGCGGUAAUACGGAGGGGGCAAGCGUUAUCCGGAUUUACUGGGUGUAAAGGGGGCGCAGACGGCAGCGCAAGCCAGGAGUGCAAGCCCGGGGCCCAACCCCGGGACUGCUCUUUGAACUGCGCGGCUGGAGUGCAGGAGGGGCAGGCGGAAGUCCUGGUGUAGCGGUGAAAUGCGUAGAUAUCAGGAGGAACACCGGUGGCGAAGGCGGCCUGCUGGACUGCGACUGACGUUGAGGCCCGAAAGCGUGGGGAGCAAACAGGAUUAGAUACCCUGGUAGUC